rnacentral:lncRNA from 1 species
GCCAGCGGGGCGGGCGGGAGAAAGGAAAAGAGGCGGCUGCUGCCGGCGGGGAGCGGAGCAGGAGCAGUGAACCUGAAAACUGAACUCCAGCAGAGUCAUGGGUGCUCUCAGGGCAGUAAGAGAAACUGGUGCUUAGUCUGCCUGCAGGAAAGAUUAAGUAGAAACAUGCAUUCUGGAAGAUUCUUUGCAAUAUGGCACUUGAAACUGACCUUGGAUCUCAUGACUCAUCUCUGCUGGCAAUGUGGCAUCCCUUACAGUUCUGAAUCCAAGAAUAUUUGUGAGCCAGACACAAAAACACAGACUAAGAAGCAAAAUGGAAGAAAUAGAUGAAGACUUCUCUUGGUUUCCAUCAGAGUCUGGAAUUCUUCAUGUCUGAUAGAAGUUCAGAAGACACUGUCUUGCAGGAGUACCUGCAAAUGCAAAUAUUUUUCAGCAGUGUUUAAGUCUUGUGGAUUUGAUGGCCAAAUAAACACAUUUCCAAGCACCUGC